rnacentral:rRNA from 1 species
AUACGGAAGGUCCGGGCGUUAUCCGGAUUUAUUGGGUUUAAAGGGAGCGCAGGCGGAGAUGCAAGCGUGACGUCAAAUUUCGGGGCUCAACCCCGUCUCGCGUCGCGAACUGCGUCCCUUGGUUGCGGGAAGGGGAGGCGGAACUCGUGGUGUAGCGGUGAAAUGCAUAGAUAUCACGAAGAACUCCGAUCGCGAAGGCAGCCUUCCGGCCCGUCAACGACGCUCAUGCUCGAAGGUGCGGGUAUCAAACAGGAUUAGAUACCCUGGUAGUCCGCACAGUAAACGAUGGACACCCGCGGUUUGGCCUGUAUGGCUGAGCCGCCAAGCGAAAGCGUUAAGUGUCCCACCUGGGGAGUACGCCGGCAACGGUGAAACUCAAAUGAAUUGGCGGG